rnacentral:rRNA from 1 species
AGUGAACGCUGGCGGUAGGCCUAACACAUGCAAGUCGAACGGCAGCACAGUAAGAGCUUGCUCUUACGGGUGGCGAGUGGCGGACGGGUGAGGAAUACAUCGGAAUCUACUUUUUCGUGGGGGAUAACGUAGGGAAACUUACUCUAAUACCGCAUACGACCUACGGGUGAAAGCAGGGGAUCUUCGGACCUUGCGCGAUUGAAUGAGCCGAUGUCGGAUUAGCUAGUUGGCGGGGUAAAGGCCCACCAAGGCGACGAUCCGUAGCUGGUCUGAGAGGAUGAUCAGCCACACUGGAACUGAGACACGGUCCAGACUCCUACGGGAGGCAGCAGUGGGGAAUAUUGGACAAUGGGCGCAAGCCUGAUACAGCCAUACCGCGUGGGUGAAGAAGGCCUUCGGGUUGUAAAGCCCUUUUGUUGGGAAAGAAAAGCAGCAGGUUAAUACCCCGCUGUUCUGACGGUACCCAAAGAAUAAGCACCGGCUAACUUCGUG